AAACAGGGAUGCGCAUACCUAACAAGUGUGUGUGCACAAGAUGUGAGUGUACUCAGCUGUAUCUGCACACAUUUUUUGUAAUUAAUCUCUCAUUUUAAAUAUAAAAUGGAAAUUUCUGAAGUUAAUGGAUAUGAUAGCUUGCAGUUUCCAUGCAUGGCCUUUCCCAUUAAUUGCUGACAUCAAAUUAGUCACACCAUUAGAAACUGAAGCUGAACCUUGGCUAUUCACAGCCUUGGCCUUCUGACAAAAGAGCCUCAGGAGCUUGUCACAUUGCUUCCAGUUACAGAAAAAUACACAUCUCCUUCCUGACAGAAGAGCUGCAUCCUCAGGAUACUCCUUACAGCUCAAGGCUGAAGGAGGACUGAGUUGCAGACUGCAAUGAACAGCAGUUAUUGAAAUCUGAAAAGCUGAAGAUUGGCGAAAUCCUGGGGGGAAGCUGCAAUGCCAGGACCAAAGGACCAAAAUGGAGGAAAAAUAUCCGUGACUAGAAGAAAGAAGAGGGCAUUCAGUUACACUGAAUUUUGCAACUAUUUGUUCUUCCAUUCCGUUUAAGUAUACAGAAAAAUGGAAAUGCUGCAUCACUGUGUCACUUGCAUGAUCUACUGCUGUUUGUUGAUCCCUCCCUCAGGAAGACACAAAAGGGACCACUAUUCUCAUCACCUCUGCAUCUAUAAAAGAAGUCAGCUGUAUCCCUGAUACUAUCUGAGGUGCUGAUUGCAGAGCACAGUACCAACAGCCUUGCAGGCAGUAUUUCCCACGGUAUCUCAUUUUGGAGAGGAAAAUGGUUCAAGAAGGAUUGUACAGCCAAAGGCACAUUUUGGGAAAUGUAAUGUCUACCUGGAUAGCCUGGAAAUGGAAAAGAAUAAAGACACAAGACAUCUGUUCUGCAGCACCACUAAGGAACGGCAGUAACACGUACCCUGAAAUACUGGAUUCUUGGCCAACUCUUUGUCCCAUGCUUUCAUUUUUAGGCUCUCAGCUUUCCAAAGAACAAUAUGUAUUUUGUGUGGGAAAGCCCGCUCUUUCAAGAAGAAGAAAGGAUCUUAAUUUCAAGUCUUGACAGAUUUUUUCAGCUAACCUUAGAAAAUCUGAAUUAUACCUAUCAUCAAAAUCCACGUCUCCUUCACUGCUUCUGUGGGAUUUGUUUUUGUUUGUUUGUUUGUUUGUUUUUGUUGGUUUAUUUUGUUUAUUUUAUCUUGGUUUUGGUUCUAAGUCAAUUUCUGUCAAUUUCCAGUAUGUCACUGGAUCAUACUGUAGAAGGAACUUGCUGAGAUAAGGAUAGGGUAUAUAUUAAAUGGAGGGUUUGUCUUCAAUGCAAUGGCAAAGGGUUAUAGCUGUAGACCAAGUCUAUCAUAUUUCUUAGUGAGAUGGAAGAUGUAAGGAUUUAAUGUUUAUUGAUUUUUAAAAAGCUCGGGGACUUUGAUUAGCACUGGUUUACUGGCAAUUAGACAUUUAGGCUAGGCUGACUGUGCAAGCUUCUCUCAUAGUUAACAGGAAGGAUCCUUAUGAAGGAGAUUUUCCUUACCUUCUCAGGUAUCUCUUUAAGACAUCUAGGUCAAAUAGGCUGUUUCAAGAGCCAUUCAGGCCCAUUCAACGGUGGAGGGCAUCGGGAAACUUUCUGUGUAUGAAACACUUCAGUAUUUCCUUCAGUCAAAAAAGCUUCAACGUUAAUGUUUUGCAUAUAGAACAUGGUGGUGCAUUUCUCCAAUGUCAGAUAAUCGCAGCUCUCUCUCACACAUCCUGUACAGAUAAUUUCUGAAUAUGUGAUCAGCUAUAUCUGCUAUUUUAGGCUUUCUUCAAUAAAUAUCCAGUUGACAGUUUCACCUGAUCUAUAUACACACAGCUACAAUUUAAAUAAGCACACCUGCAUUUUAUAUUUUGGGUGAUAUCUACAAAAGUGUUGCCCCUAGCUUGUUUUUAGCAGUUUAAAAUUAAAAUUUAUCCAGUGCAAAUCUCCAUAAUUGGCCUGGGGAUUCUUUAAGAUAAGGUUACUGAGAGAACCUUACCUUGGAAUGCUGAACAUGUUGCUUCAUCACAGCUGCUCCUUUAGGUUCAUCAGUACUGUUUCUCAUCCCUGUCUUAGAAGAGCAUCUCAGCAAGUAUCAAGUGUUCGAGGUAUAGUUUCAGGAUCAACAGACUCCCUUUCCUUCAGUAUUUUCUUACAUGGUCAGUCACCUCUGUGAAUAUUCUGGCUACAGAAGACAUUCACUAAUACACUACCCAAAAGCAAAUCCAAAUUCACUCAAAGAGGAUGAGUUUUCAGUGCUG
ensembl:lncRNA